rnacentral:rRNA from 1 species
CGGACGGGUGAGUAAUGUCUGGGAAACUGCCUGAUGGCGGGGGAUAACUACUGGAAACGGUAGCUAAUACCGCAUAACGUCGCAAGACCAAAGAGGGGGACCUUCGGGCCUCUUGCCAUCGGAUGUGCCCAGAUGGGAUUAGCUAGUAGGUGGGGUAACGGCUCACCUAGGCGACGAUCCCUAGCUGGUCUGAGAGGAUGACCAGCCACACUGGAACUGAGACACGGUCCAG